rnacentral:rRNA from 1 species
UACGGGGGGGGCAAGCGUUGUUCGGAAUUACUGGGCGUAAAGGGCUCGUAGGCGGCUAAGUAAGUCAGACGUGAAAUCCCUCGGCUUAACCGGGGAACUGCAUCUGAUACUGGAUGGCUUGAGUUCGGGAGAGGGAUGCGGAAUUCCAGGUGUAGCGGUGAAAUGCGUAGAUAUCUGGAGGAACACCGGUGGCGAAGGCGGCAUCCUGGACCGACACUGACGCUGAGGAGCGAAAGCCAGGGGAGCAAACGGG